GCCAGCAGCCAAGGGGGAAGGAGCUCUCCCAGAGCAAGCAAAGGGGAGAGGCCUGACUGCAGGCAGACCCUUCCCUGGCUCGGCACUCACCCAGACCACGCUCAUCUACUCCUUCUGGAUAUCACUUCAGCUCCUGCAGCUUCAGUGAGUACCAGGCUCUGAUGUUGCUUAGUUCAUUGCUUCUGCUUCUCUCUUCAUCACGGCACCAUCUUCAGCUGGCCCCUGCCCUUAGGGGCAAACUGCCUCUUCCCCUGUCUGCCUUUUACCUCCUGGCUCCUCCUCCAGUAACCAAUCUGCCUGAUCCCUGCUUCUACGUGAGGUCCUGCUGGGAUCUGGCCAGGGCUUCAUUGGGAAUACCUGGGCUCCCGGUGCCCAACAUCAUUCUGCUUUUCCCACUUUGGUCUGGCUGCAGUCUACUCAUGUUUUGAAUCUUGGAUGUUGUCAGCAAAGAGAAAAUAAGAUGCAAGUGAAGGACAAAGGUUAUCCUGGAAAAUGUCCAGAUAUAGUUUCUAGUACAGACAUACACGGGAUAUAUAGAAGUCACUUUAUUAAAGUCAACUUGCUGCAUAUGAAGACAGCAACCACUGAAGUGGCUGAAAAAGGCACCUGGUUACAAUCAAGGACAUGCUCCUGCUAGCAGGAUCCAACAAAAAUAAUGUCAUAAGAAUCUGUCACAGUCUCACUCCUCUGAGUGCACCAUGUUAUUAAAAUAUUAUGAAAUUGUAAUAAUUUCUCUAAGACCACCUGAUUUUGUUUUUUUUUUCCCCCUUCUCCUAACCUCCAUGUCUCUUAUUAAGUAGAAGCUCUUGAGAAUAAUAAUUGUUUAACACUGUGAGUGAAGAAUAGAUAGAUAGAUAUCAAUAUUAUCUAUCUAUUAUUGUCUAUAAACACACAUUUAGUUCUCACCUGUGCUGGGAAAUGAUUAAGGAAGUUCAGUAGCUGGUACCCUGAGUCACUAAUUUGGUAAUAUGCUGCCCUAAUUAUACCAUGUAAUGAAGACUGUUGCACACGCAAUAAAUCUAGCAACCAAAGCUCUACAGGUCCUUUUGCAUUCACUGGAGUAUCCAGCUGAAAAAUUAAAUACACGUUAAGCAUAU